UACGUAGGGGGCGAGCGUUGUCCGGAAUUAUUGGGCGUAAAGAGCUCGUAGGCGGCUUGGCAAGUCGGAUGUGAAAACUCCAGGCUCAACCUGGAGCCGCCAUUCGAUACUGCUAUGGCUAGAGUCCGGUAGGGGAGUGUGGAAUUCCCGGUGUAGCGGUGAAAUGCGCAGAUAUCAGGAGGAACACCGGUGGCGAAGGCGGGUCUCUGGGCAGUAACUGACGCUGAGGAGCGAAAGCGUGGGGAGCGAACAGG
rnacentral:rRNA from 1 species